GGUGAUGGUGGUCAAUCCAGCCUUUAUGAGAUAUGUUCAUGAGAUUUGGCUGAAAAAAAAGGGAGAUUAUCCAUCCACCGGCUUUAUGGCUUUGAUCCUUGCACUUCACAUUUGUGAUGAGGUCAGCGUGUUUGGUUAUGGAGCAGACGACGACGGAAACUGGAGCCAUUACUUUGAAACACUAAAAAACAAGAACUUUAAAACUGGACCACAUCCUGGAAAACAUGAGUAUGCACUCAUACAUGAGUUGGCCCAAAACAAAACAAUCAGACUUUACAAAGGGUGGUGAAACAAGUCACUCUUAAAAAUUGAGACCACAUAUCUCAAUGAGAACUACCUGUAUAAAUAGUUGCAAUAAAAAAAUCUAAAAACUUCUUCCAGAAUCUAAACUCCUCAGAUGAUGAAUGGCUUGUACUUUUAAAGCACUUUAUCGAGACUAGAAAAAGCACCUCACACUAUCAGUCACUCACACACUGAUGGUGGUAAGCUACUAUGUUGUAGCCAUAGCUGCCAUGGGGCAGUGAGGCUGCCAUGCACUGGGUGGAUCUGACCACCAGCAGCAGGGAAAGCAGGUGAAGUGUAUUCCCUAAGGACACAAUGACUGUGAAAGACGGAGCGGGAUUCAAACCGGCAACCCACCAGCUACAGAAUAAACUCCUACCACCGCUGCCCAGAUGCAUCAAUACUAACCUAGUCUAGUUAUCAGUUGUCUCAACAGAGACUAAACGCCUUACAUAAAUCUAAAGCACCUUAACCUUUGAAGGAUUUGUCUUGAGUAAUGAAUAGGAAAUUCUUUAAUUGUUGAGUUUGCAUGUUCAACAUGUGCAUUUUUUUUUCAAAGUAAUUCAAUCUUUUCUAAAAACAUAAAUACAUAGACAGUAUGUUUGGUUAACUGGUCAGUUUAAUUUGUGAGGAUGUGUGAUUGCCUGACCUGUUAACUACCUGUCCAUACUCACUCCACAACUUUAAAUGGGAUAAACAAGUUCCAAAUAUCCAAAUAUCCAGGGUCAAUGGGUCAAACUGAAUAUCACUGACUAAUCAGCCAUCUGAAGCUAUCACUUUACUGAGAAAGCACUCAGUCUUUUACUAAGUAGAUGUCUUUAGUCAUCAUGGGAGACUUUAAAAAACAUUUCUGAAAUAUAUUUUUUUAUGUGAAGUAGGUAUAUAGUUUAGGAGGUAUCUGAAAAUCAGAAUGCAAAUAAUGGAAAUAAAAGAAAGUCUGACUGACAUAAAUAAUUAAAAGGUACUGUAU